UAACACGUAGGGGGCGAGCGUUGUCCGGAUUUAUUGGGCGUAAAGAGCUCGUAGGCGGCUGAGUAAGUCGGGCGUGAAAUUUCAGGGCUCAACCCUGAAACGCCGCUCGAUACUGCUCUGGCUAGAGUCCGGUAGGGGAGCGUGGAAUUCCCAGUGUAGCGGUGAAAUGCGCAGAUAUUGGGAGGAACACCGGCGGCGAAGGCGGCGCUCUGGGCCGAGACUGACGCUGAGGAGCGAAAGCGUGGGGAGCAAACAGGAUUAGAUACCCUGGUAGUCCACGCCGUAAACGUUGGGCACUAGGUGUGGGGUCUACUCAACAGAUUCCGUGCCGCAGCUAACGCAUUAAGUGCCCCGCCUGGGGAGUACGGCCGCAAGGCUA
rnacentral:rRNA from 1 species